rnacentral:rRNA from 1 species
GAAUUUUAUAUAAAUUUAUUUAAAGAUUUAAUAGUAAUAUUAUAUAUAUAUAUAUAAUAAAAAAGUUAAAUUUAAUUAUAAAUAAAGUUUAUAUUUAAUUGGGAGGAUUUUUAAAAUAAAUAAACUUUAAAGUUAAAAUUAUUACAUAGAUAAAUGAAUUAAUUAAAUAAAAAGAAUGAUUAAUAGAUUAAUAGAGAAAUAAUUACCUUAGGGAUAACAGCGUAAUAUUUUUGGAUAGAUCAUAUAAAUAAAAAUGAUUGC